rnacentral:rRNA from 1 species
AUGAACGCUAGCUACAGGCUUAACACAUGCAAGUCGAGGGGCAGCAUGGUCUUAGCUUGCUAAGGCCGAUGGCGACCGGCGCACGGGUGAGUAACACGUAUCCAACCUGCCGUCUACUCUUGGACAGCCUUCUGAAAGGAAGAUUAAUACAAGAUGGCAUCAUGAGUCCACAUGUUCACAUGAUUAAAGGUAUUCCGGUAGACGAUGGGGAUGCGUUCCAUUAGAUAGUAGGCGGGGUAACGGCCCACCUAGUCUUCGAUGGAUAGGGGUUCUGAGAGGAAGGUCCCCCACAUUGGAACUGAGACACGGUCCAAACUCCUACGGGAGGCAGCAGUGAGGAAUAUUGGUCAAUGGGCGAGAGCCUGAACCAGCCAAGUAGCGUGAAGGAUGACUGCCCUAUGGGUUGUAAACUUCUUUUAUAAAGGAAUAAAGUCGGGUAUGGAUACCCGUUUGCAUGUACUUUAUGAAUAAGGAUCGGCUAACUCCGUGCCAGCAGCCGCGGUAAUACGGAGGAUCCGAGCGUUAUCCGGAUUUAUUGGGUUUAAAGGGAGCGUAGAUGGAUGUUUAAGUCAGUUGUGAAAGUUUGCGGCUCAACCGUAAAAUUGCAGUUGAUACUGGAUAUCUUGAGUGCAGUUGAGGCAGGCGGAAUUCGUGGUGUAGCGGUGAAAUGCUUAGAUAUCACGAAGAACUCCGAUUGCGAAGGCAGCCUGCUAAGCUGCAACUGACAUUGAGGCUCGAAAGUGUGGGUAUCAAACAGGAUUAGAUACCCUGGUAGUCCACACGGUAAACGAUGAAUACUCGCUGUUUGCGAUAUACAGCAAGCGGCCAAGCGAAAGCGUUAAGUAUUCCACCUGGGGAGUACGCCGGCAACGGUGAAACUCAAAGGAAUUGACGGGGGCCCGCACAAGCGGAGGAACAUGUGGUUUAAUUCGAUGAUACGCGAGGAACCUUACCCGGGCUUAAAUUGCAGAUGAAUUACGGUGAAAGCCGUAAGCCGCAAGGCAUCUGUGAAGGUGCUGCAUGGUUGUCGUCAGCUCGUGCCGUGAGGUGUCGGCUUAAGUGCCAUAACGAGCGCAACCCUUGUUGUCAGUUACUAACAGGUUCCGCUGAGGACUCUGACAAGACUGCCAUCGUAAGAUGUGAGGAAGGUGGGGAUGACGUCAAAUCAGCACGGCCCUUACGUCCGGGGCUGCACACGUGUUACAAUGGGGGGUACAGAGGGCCGCUACCACGCGAGUGGAUGCCAAUCCCAAAAACCUCUCUCAGUUCGGACUGGAGUCUGCAACCCGACUCCACGAAGCUGGAUUCGCUAGUAAUCGCGCAUCAGCCACGGCGCGGUGAAUACGUUCCCGGGCCUUGUACACACCGCCCGUCAAGCCAUGGGAGCCGGGGGUACCUGAAGUGCGUAACCGCGAGGAGCGCCCUAGGGUAAAACUGGUGACUGGGGCU